UAUCAAGUCUCUUGUGAAAUCUAAUGGCUUAACCAUUAAACUGCUUGGGAAACUGAUAGUCUAGAGUGAGGGAGAGGCAGAUGGAAUUGGUGGUGUAGGGGUAAAAUCCGUAGAUAUCACCAAGAAUACCCAUUGCGAAGGCGAUCUGCUGGAACUCAACUGACGCUAAGGCGCGAAAGCGUGGGGAGCAAACAGGAUUAGAUACCCUGGUAGUCCACGCCCUAAACGAUGUACACUAGUUGUUGGGGUGCUAGUCAUCUCAGUAAUGCAGCUAACGCAUUAAGUGUACCGCCUGGGGAGUACGGUCGCAAGAUUAAAACUCAAAGGAAUAGACGGGGACCCGCACAAGCGGUGGAGCAUGUGGUUUAAUUCGAAGAUACGCGAAGAACCUUACCUGGGCUUGAUAUCCUAAGAACCUUUUAGAGAUAAGAGGGUGCUAGCUUGCUAGAACUUAGAGACAGGUGCUGCACGGCUGUCGUCAGCUCGUGUCGUGAGAUGUUGGGUUAAGUCCCGCAACGAGCGCAACCCACGUAUUUAGUUGCUAACGGUUCGGCCGAGCACUCUAAAUAGACUGCCUUCGUAAGGAGGAGGAAGGUGUGGACGACGUCAAGUCAUCAUGGCCCUUAUGCCCAGGGCGACACACGUGCUACAAUGGCAUAUACAAUGAGACGCAAUACCGCGAGGUGGAGCAAAUCUAUAAAAUAUGUCCCAGUUCGGAUUGUUCUCUGCAACUCGAGAGCAUGAAGCCGGAAUCGCUAGUAAUCGUAGAUCAGCCAUGCUACGGUGAAUACGUUCCCGGGUCU
rnacentral:rRNA from 1 species